GCAGGGUUCAGUGGUAGAAUUCUUGCCUUCCAUGCAGGAGACUUGGGUUCAAUUCCCAGUCAAUGCU
rnacentral:tRNA from 1 species